rnacentral:sRNA from 1 species
CUUUGUAUACACCGCCCUGUCGCUACUACCGAUUGAAUGGCUCAGUGAGGCGUUCGGACUGGCUCGGGGAGGUUGGCAACGACCACCCCAAGCCGGAAAGUUCGUCAAACUCGGUCAUUUAGAGGAAGUAAAAGUCGUAACAAGGUCUCCGUAGGUGAACCUGCGGAGGGAUCAUUACACAAUAAAAUAUGAAGGCUGUACGCGGCUGUGCUCUCGGGCCAGUUUUGCGGAGGCUGAAUUAUUUAUUACCCUUGUCUUUUGCGCACUUGUUGUUUCCUGGGCGGGUUCGCCCGCCACCAGGACCACAUCAUAAACCUUUUUUAUGCAGUUGCAAUCAGCGUCAGUAUAACAAAUGUAAAUCAUUUACAACUUUCAACAACGGAUCUCUUGGUUCUGGCAUCGAUGAAGAACGCAGCGAAAUGCGAUACGUAGUGUGAAUUGCAGAAUUCAGUGAAUCAUCGAAUCUUUGAACGCACAUUGCGCCCUUUGGUAUUCCAAAGGGCAUGCCUGUUCGAGCGUCAUUUGUACCCUCAAGCUUUGCUUGGUGUUGGGCGUUUUUUGUCUUUGGUUGCCAAAGACUCGCCUUAAAAGGAUUGGCAGCCGGCCUACUGGUUUCGCAGCGCAGCACAUUUUUGCGCUUGCAAUCAGCAAAAGAGGACGGCAAUCCAUCAAGACUCCUUCUCACGUUUGACCUCGGAUCAGGUAGGGAUACCCGCUGAACUUAAGCAUAUCAAUA